GUUCCAACAUGGCGGCUUCCAUGCAAAUAAAAUUGGGCUAUUUUCACAGCUUCAACUGGCUAGAAAUGCAUCAAUCCACUGUGGUGCUGAUGAAAACAGCCCCGUGAAUAUCACAUAUCCCGGUACUGGGGAUAAAAUACACCUCAUGUAUCCCGUCGACCACUACUUUCAGUGCUCCUCGCUAGAGUUAUCGAAUUUUGAUCACGUUAUCUACAACGUAAAACACAGAGAUUGUGGCAUGGUGUUCGACAAACAGAGGGGAAACAUGGAGUGUGGACAUUCUGCUGCAGAAACUGCUGAUCAUUACUGGACUCGAGCCCAUAUUCAGACUGACGUAUGCUUACAAACCAUUAGCAUCCGGGUCUCGAGAAACAAACGUGACCUUUUCCUACAACAAGACCGCGGAGCACCAGGACCCGACUGAUGAGAACAAAGUCAUAAUUGACCUUGUGAGUACUAAAUUAUUGGUGAAGGAAACUGCUUGAUAUUCUGAAGAGCUCGCAUGUGAUGAAGUUACAAGUCCUGGAUGUGAACUAUAAACCUACAUCCAAUAUUUAUACAGUGAAAUCACUGAUUCUCUCUCUCGACUUCCACAGUGUGAUAGCGUCUUUGUACAACCCACCGGUAGUAACGAAUUGUUUCGUCAGUGACAACACCAACUGACCGAAAGUGUUGUUUCAAGAUAAGUUUCUGACGACUGGGUACGUUGCAUUCUAAAUACGUCAAGGUUGUAUUUGGUGACCGAUUCAGUGAGAUACCCAAGCCUGAGAUGUUCAGGCGGCUAGCUCUCUGUCUGUCUGUGUCUGUCUGUCUUUUUUUCUCUUUCUUUCUCUUUCUCUUUCUCACUCUCUGUCUCUCCCUCCCCCCUCUCUCUCUGUGUGUGUGUGUCUGUCUCUCUUUCU